CUUUUCGCUCACUCAGUCAGCUACAAGAUACAACUUGAAGGCACCAAUUAAACAACAUAGUUUGCAAUUCAGCGAUUACAUUUCAAUUGAUGGGAAGUUGCAAACCUAAUCGAGAAGAGAAGGAAGAAGAUGUAUUUGGGUAUGUUAGUCGCCUGCUUAAAGCUUUCAAAUUAGGUUCCGGAGCCUUUGGGUCCGAUACAGGAAUUUGAGUUGCAAUCUUCUUCAGGGUAAAGAUUGAAUCUUUUCUCAUGUAAAUUGAGGGGACUGAUGGGAAUUUAAAGAAAUGGGGUUUAUGUUGUUAGUUAAAACGGGAUGUGUGUCCUGCUAAACAAAGUUUGGGUCUUUUCUCAUGUAAAUUGAGAGGCUUGAAGGGAAUUUGAAGAGAUAGAACAGUAGAUGACGGAGCUUCAAACUCUUAUUUGGUUGGAGGGCAAUAUCGACAGAAAGAGUCCUCUGCAAAUUUCAACUACUCCACAAGAUUAUGGGCACUAAUUACGGAUUUACAGUGAUCAUGAUUUGACUGUGUGUGUAAAACCUCAAGAGGAAGUUGAUGAAGACAGGAUCAGUAAAAUGCCAGAUGAUGUUCUCUGCUUUCAGGUCAAGAUAGGUUGCUAUUCUGUACAUAUUCUUAAACACCUUUGUGGAGAGGAGACGUCACUUAUUCCAAAUGAUGAAGAACCCAGUUGUGAUGGCGUAAGCAGACUUGCAAACCAUACAUUUAGCCAUACGGGCAAGCAUUACCCCUGGAGCUGUAUUGAUCGUUAUGGCUGGAAGAUUCAAGGGCAAUAGGGUUGUCUUUUUGAAGCAUCAUUCUUCUUGCUUGCUUUUGGUCACUGUUAAGUUAUUGUUUUUCUUAACUAUGUGAGAAAUUGUUUUUACUUUUGGUUACCAAGUACUGCCUUUUGAUGAAUGUUACAUGUAGUUUGCUA